rnacentral:rRNA from 1 species
UUGACGGGGAGCACCACAACGGGUGGAGCUUGCGGUUUAAUUGGAUUCAACGCCGGAAUCUUACCGGGACCGACAGCAAUAUGAAGGCCAGGCUGAAGACUUUGCCGGAUUAGCUGAGAGGUGGUGCAUGGCCGUCGUCAGUUCGUACUGUGAAGCAUCCUGUUAAGUCAGGCAACGAGCGAGACCCACGCCCACAGUUGCCAGCGUACUCUCCGGAGUGACGGGUACACUGUGGGACCGCCGCUGCUAAAGCGGAGGAAGGAAUGGGCAACGGUAGGUCAGUAUGCCCCGAAUAUCCCGGGCUACACGCGAGCUACAAUGGUUGGUACAAUGGGUAUCUACCCCGAAAGGGGACGGGAAUCUCCUAAAACCAAUCUUAGUUCGGAUUGAGGGCUGCAACUCGCCCUCAUGAAGCUGGAAUCCGUAGUAAUCGCGUUUCAACAGAACGCGGUGAAUACGUCCCUGCUCCUU